rnacentral:tRNA from 1 species
GACCCGGUAGCUCAGCUGGAUAGAGCAUCUGCCUUCUAAGCAGAUGGUCAGGGGUUCGAAUCCCUUCCGGGUCA